GACGAACGUUGGCGGCGUGCUUAAUACAUGCAAGUCCACUGAAGCAGUGGUAGCAAUAUCGCUGUGGAGGUGGCGCACGGGUGAGUAACACGUAGGUAAUCUGCCUUCAGGUCUGGCAUAACUCCGGGAAACCGGGGCUAAUAGCAGAUGAUGCAGCGGCUCGACAUCGAGACAGUUGUUAAAGCUAUGGCGCCUGAAGAUGAGCCUGCGUCUGAUUAGCUAGUUGGCGGGGUAACGGCCCACCAAGGCAACGAUCAGUAGCUGGUCUGAGAGGAUGAUCAGCCACACUGGAACUGAGACACGGUCCAGACUCCUACGGGAGGCAGCAGUAAGGAAUAUUGCUCAAUGGGAGAAAUCCUGAAGCAGCAACGCCGCGUGAGGGACGAAGGGCUUUUGCUUGUAAACCUCUGUAGUGAGAGAAAAAAAUCCUAAUCUUUGGGACAUGAUGGUAGCUCAAAAGUAAGCCCCGGCUAACUACGUG
rnacentral:rRNA from 1 species